rnacentral:misc_RNA from 1 species
GCAAACUUGGUCAUUUAGAGGAAGUAAAAGUCGUAACAAGGUUUCCGUAGGUGAACCUGCGGAAGGAUCAUUACAGAGUUAUGCCCUUUAAAAGAGCAGACCUCCAACCCUAUGUGUAUUUACCUUUUGUUGCUUUGACGGGUCGCAAGGCUUUUUUCAAGGCUUUCCGCUGGCUUCGGCUGGUGCGUUUGCCCGUCAGAGGAAACUUUAAACUCUGAAUUAUGUGUUGUCUGAGUUACAAAACAAAUGUUAAAACUUUCAACAACGGAUCUCUUGGUUCUGGCAUCGAUGAAGAACGCAGC